UCUACGGGUGGCAGCAGUGAGGAAUAUUGGUCAAUGGGCGUAAGCCUGAACCAGCCAAGUCGCGUGAGGGAUGAAGGUUCUAUGGAUCGUAAACCUCUUUUAUAAGGGCAUAAAGUGCGGGACGUGUCCCGUUUUGUAUGUACCUUAUGAAUAAGGAUCGGCUAACUCCGAGCCAGCAGCCGAGGUAAUAAGGAGUAUCCGAGGGUUAUCCGGCUUUCGUGGGGUUAAAGGGUGCGUAGGCGGCCUUGUAAGUCAGCGGGUAAAGUCUGUGGCGCAACCAUCGCAUUGCCGUGGAAACUGGGAGGCUUGAGUAUAUUUGAGGCAGGCGGAAUGCGUGGUGAAGCGGUGAAAUG
rnacentral:rRNA from 1 species